AGUGAACGCUGGCGGUAGGCCUAACACGUGCAAGUCGAACGGCAGCACAGUAAGAGCUUGCUCUUACGGGUGGCGAGUGGCGGACGGGUGAGGAAUACAUCGGAAUCUACUUUUUCGUGGGGGAUAACGUAGGGAAACAUACGCUAAUACCGCAUACGACCUACGGGUGAAAGCAGGGGAUCUUCGGACCUUGCGCGAUUGAAUGAGCCGAUGUCGGAUUAGCUAGUUGGCGGGGUAAAGGCCCACCAAGGCGACGAUCCGUAGCUGGUCUGAGAGGAUGAUCAGCCACACUGGAACUGAGACACGGUCCGGACUCCUACGGGAGGCAGCAGUGGGGAAUAUUGGACAAUGGGCGCAAGCCUGAUCCAGCCAUACCGCGUGGGUGAAGAAGGCCUUCGGGUUGUAAAGCCCUUUUGUUGGGAAAGAAAAGCAGCAGGUUAAUACCCCGCUGUUCUGACGGUACCCAAAGAAUAAGCACCGGCUAACUUCGUG
rnacentral:rRNA from 1 species